rnacentral:rRNA from 1 species
GCAGCAGGCGCGAAACCUUUACACUGCACGACAGUGCGAUAGGGGGACUCCGAGUGCGAGGGCAUAUAGCCCUCGCUUUUCUGAACCGUAAGGUGGUUCAGGAACAAGGACUGGGCAAGACCGGUGCCAGCCGCCGCGGUAAUACCGGCAGUCCAAGUGAUGGCCGAUAUUAUUGGGCCUAAAGCGUCCGUAGCCGGCCGGACAAGUCCGUUGGGAAAUCGACGCGCUCAACGCGUCGGCGUCCAGCGGAAACUGUCCGGCUUGGGGCCGGAAGACCUGAGGGGUACGUCCGGGGUAGGAGUGAAAUCCUGUAAUCCUGGACGGACCACCAAUGGGGAAACCACCUCAGGAAGACGGACCCGACGGUGAGGGACGAAAGCUAGGGUCUCGAACCGGAUUAGAUACCCGGGUAGUCCUAGCUGUAAACGAUGCUCGCUAGGUGUGCCGUAGGCUACGAGCCUGCGCUGCGCCCUAGGGAAGCCGAGAAGCGAGCCGCCUGGGAAGUACGUCUGCAAGGAUGAAACUUAAAGGAAUUGGCGGGGGAGCACCACAACCGGAGGAGCCUGCGGUUUAAUUGGAUUCAACGCCGG